CCAACGCCACUUCCAAUCGCCACCACCACCACCGCCUCCACCCGCUCCUCCGCCUGAACCCUAGCCAUGGCGUGGCGCGGCGCUGCGUCCCGCACCGUCCUCGCCGCGGUCCGCCGGCCGGCACCCUCGGCCGCGGUCGGCGGCCUCCGGGCCCCUCCUCCCUUCGCGGCCCCGCGCCGCCGGAUCCCUUCCCCCUUCGCCCCCUCCCACCCCACCUCCCCGCUCGGAGCCACACGGCCCCUGGCGGCCAUGAUGGGGUCGCCGCUGACGGCGGCGGUGGUGCUAGGACGGAUGACGGCGCACCCGUCGGCCAGCGCCCGGGCCUGCUGCGAGCUCUCCCAGGGAAAUGGGGACGAUGGUUGAUGUUGGAGGCUGGCCAGCAUGACGGGGACUUUAUCUCCUAGAAUGAUGGAAUGGAAAAGAUGGGUGAUGCGGGAGAGGCAAGGGUAGAGCAUAGCUAAGGUACUUGAAUUUGCCAUGUUGAUUCACCAUCCUUUUUAAAGAGGAUACAAAUCUUGGAUUCGUCUUUUGGAAAGCUAUUCUGGGGCCGUCCUUUUAGUUCUUGAGUUAUUAGAAGAAUGUCUCCAACAAAAUAGCUUCUCUCCAAAUUACUAGCCUAGACUGAAAAUAAUCUUCCUGUGAUAUGACAUGGUUUAUGUCAUGGAUUUAGCUUCUACUUUAGUAGCGAAAUAUCUUCGUGUUGCCUGCUAAGAGGAUUUGGUGGCACAUUUUAUAUGAUUUCUUAGAUUGGAAGGUAUCUCUGUUCCACGAGCAACAACUGUGGUCACACCGUCAUUUCAGUUUCGAGUUCAGCAAUGAUGCUUGA